rnacentral:rRNA from 1 species
AUGGGCAUUGGAGUGAAGGACAGUGGAUUUUAUCGCUAUGUGGCUGUCUUCCAAUAUGGUUCUGCUGUGCCCUUUAAUAUUAGUGAUGAUGAAGCUGAGCACUAUCUUUAUAUGAUCAGAAAUCAUGCUUCGGGAUGGCUUCCGGAGAUGAGGAAAGACGAUUAUGCAGUAGUCGAAAUGUCAUCCCUGACAACUUGGAUGAAAGGAGGUCUUGAUUAUAUAGUUCUUAAAAGUUUAGACACUUCUGGAAUUCGGAUAAUUUCAAGUGUUCUUGGUCAAAGUAUCGCUCUUGAUCUUUACUUACGGCAGUCGAUGAUAUGGUUGAGGAAUUUACUGAAAUCAGUCGUAUCAUGGAGAAGACUGGCGACUACACAAUGA